GCCUCAUAACGGCGAGUGAAGCGGCAACAGCUCAAAUUUGAAAUCUGGCCCCCAGGCCCGAGUUGUAAUUUGUAGAGGAUGCUUCUGGCGACGCGACUUCCGAGUUCCCUGGAACGGGACGCCAAAGAGGGUGAGAGCCCCGUCCGGUCGUUCGCCUAGCCUCUGUGAAGCUCCUUCGACGAGUCGAGUAGUUUGGGAAUGCUGCUCUAAAUGGGAGGUAUACGUCUUCUAAAGCUAAAUACCGGCCAGAGACCGAUAGCGCACAAGUAGAGUGAUCGAAAGAUGAAAAGCACUUUGAAAAGAGGGUUAAAUAGUACGUGAAAUUGCUGAAAGGGAAGCGCUUAUGACCAGACUUGGGCCAGGUGAAUCAUCCGGCGUUCUCGCCGGUGCACUUUGCCUGCCCAGGCCAGCAUCAGUUCGCUUCGGGGGAUAAAGGCUUCGGGAAUGUGGCUCCUCCGGGAGUGUUAUAGACCGUUGCGUAAUACCCUGGGGCGGACUGAGGUACGCGUUCUGCAAGGAUGCUGGCGUAAUGGUCAUCAGUGA
rnacentral:rRNA from 1 species